GCACAAGCGGUGGAGCAUGUGGUUUAAUUCGACGCUACGCGAAGAACCUUACCUGGGCUUGAACUGCUGGUGGUAGAAGCCCGAAAGGGUAACGACCCGGAGCAAUCCGGGAGCCAGUAGAGGUGCUGCAUGGCUGUCGUCAGCUCGUGUCGUGAGAUGUUGGGUUAAGUCCCGCAACGAGCGCAACCCUUACCCUUAGUUGCCAGCGGGUAAUGCCGGGCACUCUAAGGGGACCGCCCCGGAUAACGGGGAGGAAGGCGGGGAUGACGUCAAGUCAGCAUGGCCUUUAUGUCCAGGGCUACACACGUGCUACAAUGGGCGAUACAGAGGGAAGCAAGGCCGCAAGGUAGAGCUAAUCCCUAAAGUCGUCCUCAGUUCGGAUUGCAGGCUGCAACUCGCCUGCAUGAAGUCGGAAUCGCUAGUAAUCGCGGAUCAGCUACGCCGCGGUGAAUACGUUCUCGGGCCUU
rnacentral:rRNA from 1 species